AGAAUCAACGCUGGCGGCGUGCCUAACACAUGCAAGUCGAACGAGAAAGUGGUAGCAAUACCAUGAGUAAAGUGGCGCACGGGUGAGUAACACGUGACUAACCUACCCUGGAGUGGGGGAUAACUGAGGGAAACCUUAGCUAAUACCGCAUAACACCUACGGGUCAAAGGAGCAAUUCGCUUCAGGAGGGGGUCGCGGCAGAUUAGCUAGUUGGCGGGGUAAUGGCCCACCAAGGCAGUGAUCUGUAUCCGGCCUGAGAGGGCGCACGGACACACUGGAACUGAAACACGGUCCAGACUCCUACGGGAGGCAGCAGUGGGGAAUUUUGCGCAAUGGGGGAAACCCUGACGCAGCAACGCCGCGUGGAGGAUGAAGUCCCUCGGGACCGUAAACUCCUUUCGAUCGGGACGAUAAUGACGGUACCGAGAGAAGAAGCCCCGGCUAACUUCGUGCCAGCAGCCGC
rnacentral:rRNA from 1 species